rnacentral:rRNA from 1 species
CCUACGAGUGGCAGCAGUGAGGAAUAUUGCACAAUGGGGGAAACCCUGAUGCAGCGACGCCGCGUGAGUGAAGAAGGAUUUCGGUAUGUAAAGCUCUAUCAGCAGGGAAGAAAAUGACGGUACCUGAUUAAGAAGCCCCGGCUAACUACGUUCCAGACGCCGCGGUACUACGUAGGGGGCAAGCGUUAUCCGGAUUUACUGGGUGGAAAGGGGGCGUAAACGGCAGCAAAAGUCUGGAGUGAAAUGCCGGGGCUUAACCCCGGAACUGCUUUGGAAACUGUGCAGCUUGAGUGCAGGAGAGGUAAGUGGAAUUCCUAGUGUAGCGGUGAAAUGCUUAGAUAGUAGGAGGAACACCAGUGGCGAAGGCGGCUUACUGGACUGUAACUGACGUUGAGGCUCGAAGGCGUGGGGAGCAAACAGGAUUAGAUACCCUUGUAGUC